UACCAGCACCCCGAGUGGUCGGGACGAUUAUUGGGCCUAAAGCAUCCGUAGCCGGUUCUGCAAGUCCUCCGUUAAAUCCAGCUGCUCAACAGAUGGGCCGCGGAGGAUACUACAGAGCUAGGAGGCAGGAGAGGCAAGCGGUACUCAGUGGGUAGGGGUAAAAUCCGUUGAUCCAUUGAAGACCACCAGUGGCGAAGGCGGCUUGCCAGAAUGCGCUCGACGGUGAGGGAUGAAAGCUAGGGGAGCGAAAGGG
rnacentral:rRNA from 1 species